rnacentral:miRNA from 2 species
AGCCAAAGGAGAAUUGCCCUG